rnacentral:misc_RNA from 1 species
AAAGCAGAGUUCAGUUGAACAGGUGUUCCUCACCAGAGACGAAAUGGUCGGAUCCGAGAUAGAGCCACGGUUCAAACCCAAGAAUGGAAGCGUGUUUCCAAGAAAAAAGAAGCUGGUGAAGACCAUGAUGCUUGAUUCUAUUGCUUCAAUUAUCACCUCUGCUUCUGCUUCAGAUGAUCAGAACAACCGCAAAAUUAAUGGUACCUCUCACAGAAACAAGGUUCAGCCAUCAAAAACAUCGAAUUCCGAUUGAUUUUAUCAUCCUCUCUUUUUCCUGUUGUAUUUGCAGCUGAUCAAGUUUCUCUCUUUGUAUCUGUUGUUAUUGUAGUUUGAGUUAAAAUGGAAUGUAAAUUAGUUCUUCAUG